GCGCACCCGGACUUAACCAGAGUAAGUCGCGCUGUCAGCCCCUGCCCGGUAAGGGGGCCCGUUUCCCCUGUUCCUUGUGGGCAAGGAAUCCGAGCUGAAACCGACCCCGAGAAACCUCUGCCCGUCUCCCUUUUAAGGCCUUGUUCCGACCUAAGAUGGCAAAGGAAGAAACGAGGGGCAGCCGCGGCUAGCGGGCGUUUACGGCGCGAGGCCCCCGAGACCGCCGGCCGCCGCCGCGACGCCCCUCUUCCUCCACGCCGGUCUCCCACACGCCGUCCCUGUCCCUGUGUGGCUGCCGCACGCGCAGGCCCUCGGCUCACCGGAACGCUCUGCCCGGACCCCCCUCGGGGCGGCCCUCGACAAGCGGCGGGAACACGCCGACACGGAGACCAACAGCGGGCUCGCGGCCCCGGGCGCCGGCGCGGCAGACGCCACGUUUACCCAGCAUGCUCCGGGCGGCCAGCGGCGGGCGGGCCACGGCCACGGCCACGGCCACGUGACGCGGGGGGCGCCGGGACCGCGCACUGCUCCCGUCUGCGGCUGCGCGGGGCGGGGCGGGGCGGGGCCCCCGGAGGCGGGAAGGCGGGAAGGCGGGAAGGCGGGAAGGCGGGCGGAAGGGAGGGCGGGCGGGGAGCCGGUGGCUGGCCGCUGGCGAGGACGAGGCGUCGGAGCCCGCGACGGACGUCGGCGGCUCUGUGGUUUGGGGCACGGAUGCACACCCAGGCCCGGCGCCUUCCCCCAGCAGGUCCGGCGGUCAUCCAUGAGCCCGGGCUCGCAGUGGGUCGGCGGGUUGGCGGGACCCCCGCUGCCGAGCGAAGGGCCGGGCGUCCCGGGAGCGCAGGGAACGCGGCCGCCGCCGGGGAUUCGCCCGGUGACCCGAGCUGCCGCGGUCCCCGGAAAGCUUGGCUCCGUCCGACCCGCAGGGGGAGGCGGCCUCGGCGUGAGGGGGGCCGCGGGGUGGGUCCUCGUGCCUCCCCGCUGCCGAGGCCGGGCCCUGAGCGGCCCCGAGCGGCCCCGCAGCCCGACUGCACGGGGACCGGGGCCCGCGGCGGGGCGGGGCGGGGCGGGGCGGGGCAGGCGUCCCGCGGGGAGGGCACAGGCUGGCCCGGGGCGGCCCCCCGACCCCCGACCCCCGGGGCGGGACCCAGCGGCCCCCGUCGCGGCUGGGAGGGCGCAUCCUGCCGCCACCGACGCGCCGCCGGACGUCGAAUAAAGGACUCGCCCCAGCGGAGGCCCAGCUUCCUCCUGAACCUGCGGGGAACCCCGACGGCAGGACCCGCGGCCCCGGCGCUCGCCUCCGCGCUGCCGCCGCCCACGCCGCAGGCUUUGGCGGAGGCGGAGCCGGGGAUCCAGACACCACUGCCACCUGGCGGCCGCGCGCCCGAAGGAGAACCCCGGGGUCUGGAGGGGGCCUGACUCUGAGCAGAAAGAACCCAGCAGAGAAUAGAACACUUCCUCCCGCUCCAGAAAGCAACAGUCCCCCAAGCCAGUGUCUUCCAGGCUUCAGAAGAUCGGGUUAGACAACGAUCAAUGAAGCCGAACAGCUAACGAUGUCCCUAAAUAAAUGUCCUUUUGCUCUUUAGAGCCCUAUGCUC
rnacentral:lncRNA from 12 species